rnacentral:rRNA from 1 species
AGCGAACGCUGGCGGCAGGCCUAAUACAUGCAAGUCGAGCGGGUCCUUCGGGAUUAGCGGCGGACGGGUGAGUAACGCGUGGAACGUGCCCUUUGGUACGGAACAACUGAGGGAAACUUCAGCUAAUACCGUAUGUGCCCUUCGGGGAAAGAUUUAUCGCCAUUGGAGCGGCCCGCGUUGGAUUAGGUAGUUGGUGAGGUAAAGGCUCACCAAGCCUACGAUCCAUAGCUGGUCUGAGAGGAUGACCAGCCACACUGGGACUGAGACACGGCCCAGACUCCUACGGGAGGCAGCAGUAGGGAAUCUUGCGCAAUGGGCGAAAGCCUGACGCAGCCAUGCCGCGUGAAUGAUGAAGGUCUUAGGAUUGUAAAAUUCUUUCACCGGGGACGAUAAUGACGGUACCCGGAGAAGAAGCCCCGGCUAACUUCGUGCCAGC